GAUGAAGAACGUAGCGAAAUGCGAUAAGUAAUGUGAAUUGCAGAAUUCAGUGAAUCAUCGAAUCUUUGAACGCACAUUGCGCCCCUUGGUAUUCCGAGGGGCAUGCCUGUUCGAGCGUCAUUAUAACCCCUCAAGCUCAGCUUGGUGUUGGGGCCUGCUGCACUGGCAGCCCUUAAAAUCAGUGGCGGCGCCAUCUGGCUCUAAGCGUAGUAAUUCUUCUCGCUAUGGAGUCCUGGUGGAUGCUUGCCAUCAACCCCCAAUUUUUCUAUGGUUGACCUCGGAUCAAGUAGGGAUACCCGCUGAACUUAAGCAUAUCAAUAAGCGGAGGA
rnacentral:misc_RNA from 1 species